CCCCUAGAUGUUCUGGGCCGCACGCGCGCUACACUGAACAGUUCAACAAGUCUUAACCUUGGCCGAUAGGUUUGGGUAAUCUUUGAACGCUGUUCGUGAUUGGGAUAGACCUUUGCAAUUAUGGGUCUUCAACGAGGAAUUCCUAGUAAACGCAAGUCAUCAGCUUGCAUUGAUUACGUCCCUGCCCUUUGUACACACCGCCCGUCGCGCCUACCGAUUGAAUGGUCCGGUGAAAUCUCGGGACGGCGGCUUGGUCGCUUGCGUCCGACUGCUGAAACUUGAUUAAACCAUAUCAUUUAGAGGAAGGUGAAGUCGUAACA
rnacentral:rRNA from 1 species